CAGAGUAUAGCAUAUAUAAUGCUUUUUACUUACACUAAAAAUAUAACAUCAGUUUACUUUGAUU
rnacentral:tRNA from 1 species